UACAGAGGUCUCAAGCGUUGUUCGGAUUCAUUGGGCGUAAAGGGUGCGCAGGCGGCGGGGCAAGUCGGACGUGAAAUCUCGGGGCUUAACCCCGAAACUGCGUUCGAUACUGCCCUGCUUGAGGACUGGAGAGGAAACUGGAAUUCCUGGUGUAGCAGUGAAAUGCGUAGAUAUCAGGAGGAACGCCAAUGGCGAAGGCAAGUCUCUGGACAGUUCCUGACGCUCAUGCACGAAGGCCAGGGGAGCAAACGGG
rnacentral:rRNA from 1 species